rnacentral:rRNA from 1 species
AGCGCGUGUAGGCGGUUUGAUUAGUCUGAUGUGAAAGCCCUGGGCUCAACCCAGGAAGUGCAUUGGAAACUGUCAGACUUGAAUACGGGAGAGGGUAGUGGAAUUCCUAGUGUAGGAGUGAAAUCCGUAGAUAUUAGGAGGAACACCGGUGGCGAAGGCGGCUACCUGGACCGAUAUUGACGCUGAGACGCGAAAGCGUGGGUAGCAAACAGGAUUAGAUACCCUGGUAGUCCACGCCGUAAACGAUGAGUACUAGGUGUUGCGGGUAUUGACCCCUGCAGUGCCGCAGCUAACGCAUUAAGUACUCCGCCUGGGAAGUACGGUCGCAAGACUAAAACUCAAAUGAAUUGACGG